CCUUUGGGUUGUGGGAUAACACCCCGAAAGAGGUGCUAAUACCCAAUAGAGUUACCUGACAUAAGUCAUUUAAUGAAAGAUGGCCUCUGCUUGCAAGCUAUCGCCCAGAGAUGGACACGCGGUCUAUUAGCUAGUUGGUGAGGUAACGGCUCACCAAGGCUGCGAUGGAUAGCUGGCCUGAGAGGGUGGUCGGCCAUACUGGGAUUGAGAUACGGCCCAG
rnacentral:rRNA from 1 species